rnacentral:rRNA from 1 species
UACACGAGUAGAGUUGAUGUGUAGUCUGACCUGCCCCCUGAAAAUUUUAAAGGGCCGCGGUAUUUGGACCGUGCUAAGGUAGCAUAAUAAAUAGUCUUUUAAUUGGAGUCUAGUAUGAAUGGUUGGACAUGAAGUAAUCUGUUUUAACUUUAGUAUUUGAAUUUUACUUUUAAGUGAAAAGGCUUAAAUAUUGUGAUGGGACGAUAAGACCCUAUAAAGCUUUACAUUUUUAUUCUUCAGUUGUAAGAUUUAAGGUUUCUUAUUCUUAUUGAGUAAAGUGUUUCGUUGGGGCGACGAGAAUAUAAAUAAGUAACUGUUUUUAUUUGAAAAAUAUGUUUAUAUAGGAGAGUUGAUCCUUACUAAAGAUUAUAAGAUUCAAGUUACUUUAGGGAUAACAGCGUAAUUUAUCUUGAGAGUUCAUAUCGACAGAUAUAGUUGCGACCUCGAUGUUGAAUUAAAAUACCCCCCAGAUGCAGCAGUUUUGGCGGUAGGUCUGUUCGACCUUUAAAAUUUUACAUGAUUUGAGUUCAGACCGGCGU